rnacentral:rRNA from 1 species
GAUGAACGCUGGCGGCGUGCCUAAUACAUGCAAGUCGAGCGAACAGACGAGGAGCUUGCUCCUCUGACGUUAGCGGCGGACGGGUGAGUAACACGUGGAUAACCUACCUAUAAGACUGUGAUAACUUCGGGAAGCCGGAGCUAAUACCGGAUAAUAUAUUGAACCGCAUGGUUCAAUAGUGAAAGACGGUUUUGCUGUCACUUAUAGAUGGAUCCGCGCCGCAUUAGCUAGUUGGUAAGGUAACGGCUUACCAAGGCAACGAUGCGUAGCCGACCUGAGAGGGUGAUCGGCCACACUGGAACUGAGACACGGUCCAGACUCCUACGGGAGGCAGCAGUAGGGAAUCUUCCGCAAUGGGCGAAAGCCUGACGGAGCAACGCCGCGUGAGUGAUGAAGGUCUUCGGAUCGUAAAACUCUGUUAUUAGGGAAGAACAAAUGUGUAAGUAACUAUGCACGUCUUGACGGUACCUAAUCAGAAAGCCACGGCUAACUACGUG